ensembl:misc_RNA Y_RNA Y RNA
GGCUGGUGUGUGUGCAGUGCUGUUUGCCACUAAUUGAUCACAAUUAGUUACAGGUUUCUUUGUUCCAUCUCCACUUGACUAGCCUUAA